CGGAGGUGGUAAUGACCAGUUAUAAUUAAGGAAUUUUCCUUAUUAUAUAGGAAUAUACUUUUCCAGUAUAUUGUAACCUAGCAGAGGGCCAGUCUGGUGCCAGCAGCUGCGGUAAUUCCAGCUCUGCAAGUUUGCUCCCAUAUUGUUGUAGUUAAAACGCUCGUAGUCUGAAUUAUUUUAAUUUAAAUUUUUUAAAUUAAAAUUUAGUUUUUAUUUUAUAAAAACGUUCACUGUGAACAAAUCAGAACGCUUAAAGUAAUUUUCUUUAUUGAAUGAUUUAGCGCAGUAUGAAAUUUUUACUUUUUAAAUUUUAAUUAAUUUAACAAGUAAUAUCAAAGAGAAUAAUCGGGGAUAGAUCUAUUUCAUGGCGAACAGCGAAAUGUUUUGACCCAUGAGAGAGAAACGAAGGCGAAAGCAUCUAUCAAGUGUAUUUCUAUCGAUCAAGGGCGAGAGUAGGAGUAUCCAACCGGAUCAGAGACCCGGGUAGUUCCUACCUUAAACUAUGCCGACAAGGUUUUGUUUUUUUUAAUAAAAGCAGUACCAUAGGAGAAAUCAUAGUUCAUGGGCUCUGGGGGAACUACGACCGCAAGGCUGAAACUUGAAGGAAUUGACGGAAGGGCACACCAGGGGUGGAGCUUGUGGCUUAAUUUGAAUCAACACGGGAAAACUUACCAGGACCAGAUAUUUUUAAUGACUGAUCAGGCUAUAGGUCUUUCAGGAUAUGAUUUUUGGUGGUGCAUGGCCGUUGGUGGUGCGUGGGUUGACCUGUCUAGCGUUGAUUCAGAUAACGAGCGAGAUUAUCACCAAUUAAAUAUAUAAAUAUUUUUAUUAAAAUAAUUUAU
rnacentral:rRNA from 1 species